AAAUUGAAGAGUUUGAUCAUGGCUCAGAUUGAACGCUGGCGGCAGGCCUAACACAUGCAAGUCGAACGGUAACAGGAAGCAGCUUGCUGCUUUGCUGACGAGUGGCGGACGGGUGAGUAAUGUCUGGGAAACUGCCUGAUGGAGGGGGAUAACUACUGGAAACGGUGGCUAAUACCGCAUAACGUCGCAAGACCAAAGAGGGGGACCUUCGGGCCUCUUGCCAUCAGAUGUGCCCAGAUGGGAUUAGCUUGUUGGUGAGGUAACGGCUCACCAAGGCGACGAUCCCUAGCUGGUCUGAGAGGAUGACCAGCCACACUGGAACUGAGACACGGUCCAGACUCCUACGGGAGGCAGCAGUGGGGAAUAUUGCACAAUGGGCGCAAGCCUGAUGCAGCCAUGCCGCGUGUAUGAAGAAGGCCUUCGGGUUGUAAAGUACUUUCAGCGGGGAGGAAGGUGUUGUGGUUAAUAACCGCAGCAAUUGACGUUACCCGCAGAAGAAGCACCGGCUAACUCCGUGCCAGCAGCCGCGGUAAUACGGAGGGUGCAAGCGUUAAUCGGAAUUACUGGGCGUAAAGCGCACGCAGGCGGUCUGUCAAGUCGGAUGUGAAAUCCCCGGGCUCAACCUGGGAACUGCAUUCGAAACUGGCAGGCUUGAGUCUUGUAGAGGGGGGUAGAAUUCCAGGUGUAGCGGUGAAAUGCGUAGAGAUCUGGAGGAAUACCGGUGGCGAAGGCGGCCCCCUGGACAAAGACUGACGCUCAGGUGCGAAAGCGUGGGGAGCAAACAGGAUUAGAUACCCUGGUAGUCCACGCCGUAAACGAUGUCUACUUGGAGGUUGUGCCCUUGAGGCGUGGCUUCCGGAGCUAACGCGUUAAGUAGACCGCCUGGGGAGUACGGCCGCAAGGUUAAAACUCAAAUGAAUUGACGGGGGCCCGCACAAGCGGUGGAGCAUGUGGUUUAAUUCGAUGCAACGCGAAGAACCUUACCUGGUCUUGACAUCCACGGAAGAAUUCAGAGAUGGAUUUGUGCCUUCGGGAACCGUGAGACAGGUGCUGCAUGGCUGUCGUCAGCUCGUGUUGUGAAAUGUUGGGUUAAGUCCCGCAACGAGCGCAACCCUUAUCCUUUGUUGCCAGCGGUCCGGCCGGGAACUCAAAGGAGACUGCCAGUGAUAAACUGGAGGAAGGUGGGGAUGACGUCAAGUCAUCAUGGCCCUUACGACCAGGGCUACACACGUGCUACAAUGGCGCAUACAAAGAGAAGCGACCUCGCGAGAGCAAGCGGACCUCAUAAAGUGCGUCGUAGUCCGGAUUGGAGUCUGCAACUCGACUCCAUGAAGUCGGAAUCGCUAGUAAUCGUGGAUCAGAAUGCCACGGUGAAUACGUUCCCGGGCCUUGUACACACCGCCCGUCACACCAUGGGAGUGGGUUGCAAAAGAAGUAGGUAGCUUAACCUUCGGGAGGGCGCUUACCACUUUGUGAUUCAUGACUGGGGUGAAGUCGUAACAAGGUAACCGUAGGGGAACCUGCGGUUGGAUCACCUCCUUACCUUAAAGAAGC
rnacentral:rRNA from 10 species